CCCUUAGAUGUUCUGGGCUGCACGCGCGCUACACUGAUGCGUUCAACGAGUACAGCCUUGACCGGAAGGUUUGGGUAAUCUGUGAAUGCGCAUCGUGAUGGGGAUAGAUUAUUGCAAUUAUUAAUCUUCAACGAGGAAUUCCUAGUAAGCGCAAGUCAUCAGCUUGCGCUGAUUACGUCCCUGCCCUUUGUACACACCGCCCGUCGCUCCUACCGAUUGAAUGAUCCGGUGAGCUUUUUGGACUGUGGUCACGGCUUUGGUUCGCCAAACUGAGGCCGCGGGAAGAUGCGCAAACCUUAUCAUUUAGAGGAAGGAGAAGUCGUAACA
rnacentral:rRNA from 1 species